rnacentral:lncRNA from 1 species
UUCUUUUUACACAUACAUACAAACCCUAGAGAAAGGAGUGUGAGAGAGUGAGAUGUGCAGAUAUCUAGAGAUGGAAAGAGAUUCUGGGAGAGAGAAUCGUGAUGGACUGGUGGCUGACCACCGCAACCAUUGGCGGCGCCACCUGAUUCCGGCGCGUCAACGACCGCAACCGACGGAACAAUGGCUGAGCCCUUGAGAGAGAGAAGACGCUGGCCUUGAAGACGGUUAGCAUUCCGACCAAAUUAGACCAGGUUCCGGUACGACUAGGGUUCUAGGAGCAGUGCCGGCAAAGAUAAUCAGUUGAAGAUCCGGUGAGCGGAUUAAAGCCUGGUGUCCGUAGGAAUGAAUCUGGGGUGAUUACGGUUACCGGAAAAGCAUCGUCUGGUGUCCGUAGGAAUGAAUUUCUCACAGGUUAUAUUAAAAUUUUGUUCAAAUAUACAGUAGUUUUUAUGUUUAUGUAAUUGAUUAGUUGAUUGUUUGAAUAGUAUUCAUAUAAUUAUCUGAUUUUUUUUUUUGAAUAGCUCUUAAUCCCUGAUUUUGAGAAUUUAUGUUUGAAUAGUACUCGCAAUGGGGAAUGAUGUGUUGUGAAUAACUUCGGGUGAAGUGGAAGGACAUGUAGGAAAUCGAUGAGAAGGCAAACCAUCCGAGAGACGACCAGUGUAUCAAUCCAUCGACUGAAAAAGUAUGGCCAUAUGUAGAGGUGAUGGGGUAGCCAAGACUAAGGUGUUAUGACCAUAAGAAAUCCCACACUCCACUCUAUUCUUUUAGUGACAUGGAUCUAGCAUCAAGGUUUUGGUAUGACUUGGGGUUUAUCUCUAAUAAUUAUAUUGAUGAAUUUGUUAUAUUUUAUUUUUAAUUGGUUCGGUUUAUUUAAUUCGGUUAUGC